UGCCCUCUGUGGUGUUAGCCAGUAGGCUCGAUAGAUACCUUGUCCCUACUUUACAAUUCCGGGUUGGUAUCUCUGAAUGCUGUUGUGCAUGUUCGUCCUGGUACGAAAAGCCUGAAGCACAAGAGGCCGUCCCACUUGAGCCUUUGGUUCAAGGGAAUCGGGUCCGCAGCGGCAUUCACGGAGGGU
rnacentral:other from 1 species